GGUGCAGCUGCACUGGGGCCCAGACGCCUUCAGGGGCCCAUGAAGGAAGGGAAAAACAGCUGUCCAGAAUUGCCACAGGCCCUGUUUUUGAGAAUGAAAUGGGGGGGCGGGUCGGUAAGGUAACGCUGAGUGGUCUUGAUGCCUGUCAAUCAUAAUGAGUGGUGUCUCGUCACCUCUCCACUGUGUCUGCAGCUGAAGACUGUGAUGCGUCUCUCUCCCCGGGCCAGGAGAGUUAUCAUACUGUAACAUAUCAAAAUAAUAACCGGGGCAUUUAUUGUUUCAAUCACUUAACAGACCAGGCGGCAAUUUGGGACCAGGCGUUUAAUUCGUUCCUCUCAAAAAAUCAGGGAUGAAAAUAUCACAAACUUCGCCAGCCUCUCGAUGAAUUCUCUGGCAUCUGGCAGUGAAGUUGUUGCGGCGGAGGAAAAGAUUUAGUCAACCAGCACUCGCGGCAAACUCCUCUUCUCUGCUGUCACGGUGGCGUUAAUUUGUUUGGCCAUCACCUAUCACCAUGAUGUUACGCUUCUGGUCCCAAGUUUGGUCUUCAGUUAGCCAACACCUAUUUUAUACAACUGCUUCCCAUUGCCACAUGCCAUAUGCCAGUGAUAUUUCAAAUUCUUGAGAGCAGACAUCACUGUUCACAGUGCAUCCUUCAGCAAACGUACUAUAGUACUUUCACUUUUAAAACAGACAUGGCGCGUUUUUGUCUAUCAGUUGCACAUUAACAGUCAAUACAAUAUGCUGUUGCAUUACUUUAUUUUAUUUAUUAAUUUAUGCUAUCUUUUUCUCCUGCAUUACUGUAUAAUCCAUGCACCAGUAGAACAUUUAAAAAAUGAAUGAAAGGUUGUUCAGUUGAUAUGACAAACAUUUUUAUUGUCAUUGAAGGUCAUAAAACAAAAUCAUGUGCGGCACUGCUCGGUUAGAGCAGAAUGAAUGCGAAAUUUGAUUUACCAAAAUCACAUUUUUUUUAAGAUUUCUACAAGUCCAGGAUUGGAUUCAUAACCAAACACGAUAAUAUCCUGUAAUCCCCGAACAACAGCCCAUGGAUACUGUGUUUCCAACAGCUCCAUCUAACAAAUAAUAUCUGCUAUAUAUGUAUGAAACUCUCAUCUUUACAGUUGGCAUUUCUUGAUGCAUUGAGAGAAGCAUGGCAGGCUGAUCUGAAUUUACAAAUUACAGAUACUGAAUGGUCAGACAUAUUCAUUCAUAUUUUCAAGAAUACACUCAUCAGUUUGUGCCAGACAUGGCCUACCUCAAUUCAAAGAUGCACAUAGACCGCACUUGUUUAAAGCCAGAAUCUCAAAGAUGUAUCCAGCAAUGGAUAAUUAGUGUAAUAUAGGAGUGCCCAACCAGAUCGCGGUCUACUGGUAGAGCGGUUACACACUCCUAAACGUUAACAUGGCUGAGGAGAAACAAGCCAAGACCUACCAUUUUCAUCCUGAAUGGGAAGAGGAUUAUUUUGUUUAUUCUCAUUCAAAGCCUGUAUGUUUGAUCUGCAAUGCAACGGUGGUGUUGGCAGAGAAAGGGAAUCUGGAGUGGCAUUUUAAAACGGUACACAGGAGCUACGAGAGGGAUUUCCCUGCAAAAACGCCUUUACGUGCCACAAAAAAUGCAGCAUUUGAAAGCACAGCCUGCGGCACAGCAGUCAAUCUUCACCAAACCAAAGACCCAGGGUAAGGCUGCAACUAUUGCUUCCUAUCGCGCCAGUCACAUCCUGCUAAACACAAGAAGCUGUUCAAAAAAAGCGAUAUUAUGAAGGAAGCCUUUCUCGAUGCAGUGGAUAGCCUUUUUGACAACUUUAAAAAUAAAACAGAGAUCAUGAAGGCUAUUAAAGAAGUGCAACUCUCCCACAAUACUACUACAAGUCGAUGUGAGGUGGAUGUGGAGGAGCAACUGAGGAAGGAUAUUGAUGUGUGGAAGUGCUUUUCCCUCCAGUUUGACGAGUCGACUGAUAUGGUGGAUGUGGCACAAUUGUGUGUUUUCAUCUGGAUUGUUUUUGAAGACAUGAGUGCCAAGGAAGAGCUACUCACCAUUUUGCCAUUAAAAGGACACACCAGAGGUGAGGAUAUUUUUAAUGCUUUCACAGGAUUUGUUAGCGAGACAAAACUGCUGCUCUUCAAGCUGAUCUCCAUCACAACUGAUGAGGUGCCUGCUAUGUUGGGCUGCACCAGUGGGUUCACUGCACUGUGCAAAGAAAGUACAUCUCAUCAAGCUGCAGAGGUAAAUUUUUGGCCAAAGUUACAGAGCUGUUGCCUGAAAUCAAGGACUUCCUGAAGCUUUCAAAACAUGUGGAUUACCAAACAAAGCUAGAGGACCACCAGUGGCUUUUAGAUUUAUCUUUCCUCACUGAUCUCAGUGAACUGAACUUAGAGCUGCAGGGUAAGGGUAUAGAUGUAAUCAACAUGAUGAGUUUAGUGAACAUGAUGUCAAGCAGGCUGCAGUGUGGUAACCUGCGCAACUUCCCUCACAUGCAAGCAGAACUACAACGUCAUUGUAAAGGUGUGACACAGCUUGACACUGCACGUUAUGAGGAGCAUGUUCAGAGCAUCUCGUCAGCGUUUGAGAGGCGUUUUGCUGACUUUGCAUCCAUCGAGCCUGUAGCCAGCUAUAUGUGUUAUCUAUUUGGUGCAAGUAUUGAUGUUGGUGACAUUGCUGCCAAAUUCAAAUCAUUUUUCAACUUGGAAAGCUCCACUCUUGAGGAUGAGAUUCUGACAUUGCAAAAUGGCAUUUAGAUCAAAGCCAGAACAACAUUCGCUCAACCUGGAGAGCAUGCAGUGUUCUGGAAACUACUGGUGGAGGAGAAGUAUCCUAAUCUCAGAAGAUGUGCCUUGAACCUGACAGCUCUUUUUGGAUCAACUUAUUUGUGCGAGUCUACUUUCUCGCACAUGAAAAUCAUCAAGUCCAAGUACAGAUCGAUGACUGAUGACCACCUUGCAGCCUGCCUAUGCCUUGCAACGAGCUCCUACACUCCUGACUAUGAGAAGCUAGCCUCCUCCUCCCAGUGCCAGGUCUCCCACUAAGGUAGGAAGUGAUUACCUUUUUUUUUCAAACUCAGAGAUUGACCUGUUUUGUACCUGGUUUUUCUGUUUGGUUCGUAUUAAGGUCAGUUAUGGCUAUUACUCACCAUGCAGAUUGGCGCGUGUGUGUGUGUGUGUGUGUGUGCGCGUGUGUGAGAGAGAGAGAGGAGCAGAGAGAGCGGGUUUGUGCUACAGCGGUUACUGGACACUGGACUGGUAGAUUUUGGGAGGUUGGCUACUUGAAAAGUAGAUCUUGGGUCAAAAUUAGCUCAUACAUUCCAGUUUUGUCCGAGACUCUGAGGUUUCUGGUAAUCUAUAUUCGAUGCCCUAUUGAAGAUAUUUAAAAGACCAAUACACCCGAACCCUCUCACAGCCGUAUUUGGUAUUCAGUGUGAGGAUGAUCAUCUUCCUAGUGUACAAUUUGAUCGCAUUGCUUUGUCACAGCAUUGCUUUGAGUCCUUACAAAGGCUCCUUUCACCUCUGAAAUGACGCUCCAAUAAAGGUAUUUUUUUUAGUAUUUUGGCCUUUGUAUGGCUUUGUUGAUAGUUCAGCUGAAGAUGUGACAGGAAACAGGAUCAGAGAGAGGGGGAGUAACACACAGCAAAGGGCCCCAGGCUGGGAGUCAAACCCAGCUCCACUGCAACAAGGACAAUGCCUCUGUACAUGGGACACCUGCUCUACCCACUGAGCUAAACAGUGCCCAUUAUUUUGUCUCUUUGACGUGGGCAAUGGUGGGGAAUUUUUCAGCUCUGUUGUUGUUUACAGUUUGGGCGUGAGCUUGAAAGUAUCUGACGUGAGGGGUAUUGCACAAAAGUAGAAUAACGAAAUCCAGGAUAAUUGAGCAAGCACGGCUUGACCUAGUCUGCUCGGCGCAUCCUGGCUUAAUUGGUUGUACGUUUGCUGAGCCAGGAUGAAAAGGCGCGGCUAUGUCAAGCCAGGUGUAGAUAGUCAGGGUAAGUGCAUGUUCACGGCAUACUUAAAUAGACCCUGUGAUUGCUCACAGAAUCACCGAUGGGAACAUGGAUAAGAGUCGCACUUCACAUUUCAUGGCCGUCAAACAACAGCUCCUGGUGGAGUUCUAUGAAGAGGUGAAAAAUAUUAUGAGAAAAAAAGGCAAUACCACUGCCAUAAUUAAAGAAAGAGAGGAUGCCUGGCAGACAAUAGCGGACAAUAGUAGUCCAAAACUGUACGAUUAAUAAACAGUGCUCCACUGGAACUGUCAUAAUUAGGUUACAACUAAAGGACUAAGGGAGUUACUUUUAAAGUCCACUAAUCAUCUGUUGUACACUUUGCCUUAAAUGUGGCAAGUAGAGGUGCAUGUUACUCAGGGACUGUAGAGUAUGAUUAAGUGCAAACAAUUAACCACAAUGUGUGUCAUUUAAUCUAUUUUACUCAUGUAAUGUUUUUAUCUAUUCUAUCUUUCUAUCCUUCAUAAAGAACAAACUUGUCUGGCCAUAAAAGCCAGGCAGCAAGUUAAGAUUAAAUACAAGAACAUUUUGCAGGUUGGUCAGUGACUUUAAAGUAGGUAACAGUGAACAAAUGAGGUGAAUAGAUGUCUGCUGACAUGUUUAAUGUCUGUAUGAUUGUAGCAGUUUAAAAAAAAAGCCCAUAGAACUGGAACAGGGGGCGGCCCACCAAGCCAGGAUAUGACCCCAGCAGAGGAGCUGCCACUCCAUUUAAAUAAAGGGAGGCCAGUGAUGGAGGGGAUCCAGAGAGGGACAGUAACACACUCUGUCCCAGCCACAGAAACUGUUCGCUUCAUACAAGUGUCUGGGAACAUGCUUACACUUUUGAAGCCACGGGAAGAUGAUCCGGGUGAAGGCACAUCUGCAGCUGCAGAAUGCACUUCUGUAGAUGAGGAGACUGUGUCACUGGACUCCAGAAGGCUUGAGACUUCACACACUGUGAGAACUAUACGCAAAGCACCUGGAGAAACAUAUAGACCUGGCAGAUGUUAAAAUAAAACUCAAGAAGAGAAAAAUCCAAGAAAUGGAGCUGGUUCUUGAGAUUAAACAUCGGACACCCAGGAAACUGGACUUGGAAAUCCAGAAACUAGAAAGAGAACCGUGGAUGGAGUCAGAACUGCAGACCCAGUUGAUGGACGAUAUGGUGGACAGAGGACACUGGACCCCCAAACACCCUGAGUACCGACCCAGAUGAUGUCCCACUGACACCAUCCAGCCCAGCAGCACUGCAGGGACUCCUGCUCAGCCUGUUACUGUAUAUCAUCUGUAACUGUUUAAUAUUGUUUUU